rnacentral:rRNA from 1 species
CACCGCGGUUAUACGAGUGACACAAAUUAAUAUCCUACGGCGUUAAGGGUGAUUAGAAACCAUCUUACCAAAAAUAAAGUUGAGACCCCAUCAAGCUGUCAUACGCUAUUAUGACUGGAACUAUCACUCACGAAAGUAACUUUAUAUAAGACAGAGCUUUUGACCUCACGACAGUUAAGACC